AAUGAAGAAAAACAAUUACAAGCUGGUUCCCGAGCUUAAAAACAUAACAAACCAUGAAGAACUCCGUUGAAAGUGGGACGAGGUUAUCAGUGUCAACAGUUUCGUUGACGACCAGAAAAAAAUUCCUUAUCUGACAAGGGAGAUUCAGUUUCUGUUUUCUAAAAAAGAUGCAGGAUUCUUCAAGUUUCAGCCCACAGCCAAAACCGAUUUCCACCAGUUUGAAUCUUAGUGGUUUUAUUUUAUUUGAAGC
rnacentral:lncRNA from 1 species